CGGCAGCAACCUGGGAGGCUGCUACAAGUUGCUGUGCCCUGAUGAAGUUUGAGGGGUCCUCAGAAUCACUUUACCAGAAAAGGUGUGAACAAUCUGACCAAGACCUGCCUCUUCCUUGCACGGGUUUCUGAAGUGCGGUCUGAUGUGCUCCCCCUCGCCCAAGGCAAGGAGCCGAGCCGAGCCGCAGCAGUGGCAGCAAACGGUCCACAGGUACUUGAGCGUCCGCCAGAGCAAGAUGAUGAAGAGGCCCCCGAAGAAAGUCACCAUGGAGGAGGCCAGGAAAGCCCACCACAUGCGCUGGCCCCGGCUGUCGCACGGC